rnacentral:rRNA from 1 species
GGUUAAGCGACUAAGCGUACACGGUGGAUGCCCUGGCAGUCAGAGGCGAUGAAGGACGUGCUAAUCUGCGAUAAGCGUCGGUAAGGUGAUAUGAACCGUUAUAACCGGCGAUUUCCGAAUGGGGAAACCCAGUGUGUUUCGACACACUAUCAUUAACUGAAUCCAUAGGUUAAUGAGGCGAACCGGGGGAACUGAAACAUCUAAGUACCCCGAGGAAAAGAAAUCAACCGAGAUUCCCCCAGUAGCGGCGAGCGAACGGGGAGCAGCCCAGAGCCUGAAUCAGUGUGUGUGUUAGUGGAAGCGUCUGGAAAGGCGCGCGAUACAGGGUGACAGCCCCGUACACAAAAAUGCACAUACUGUGAGCUCGAUGAGUAGGGCGGGACACGUGGUAUCCUGUCUGAAUAUGGGGGGACCAUCCUCCAAGGCUAAAUACUCCUGACUGACCGAUAGUGAACCAGUACCGUGAGGGAAAGGCGAAAAGAACCCCGGCGAGGGGAGUGAAAAAGAACCUGAAACCGUGUACGUACAAGCAGUGGGAGCCUCUUAAUGGGGUGACUGCGUACCUUUUGUAUAAUGGGUCAGCGACUUAUAUUCUGUAGCAAGGUUAACCGAAUAGGGGAGCCGAAGGGAAACCGAGUCUUAACUGGGCGUUAAGUUGCAGGGUAUAGACCCGAAACCCGGUGAUCUAGCCAUGGGCAGGUUGAAGGUUGGGUAACACUAACUGGAGGACCGAACCGACUAAUGUUGAAAAAUUAGCGGAUGACUUGUGGCUGGGGGUGAAAGGCCAAUCAAACCGGGAGAUAGCUGGUUCUCCCCGAAAGCUAUUUAGGUAGCGCCUCGUGAAUUCAUCUCCGGGGGUAGAGCACUGUUUCGGCAAGGGGGUCAUCCCGACUUACCAACCCGAUGCAAACUGCGAAUACCGGAGAAUGUUAUCACGGGAGACACACGGCGGGUGCUAACGUCCGUCGUGAAGAGGGAAACAACCCAGACCGCCAGCUAAGGUCCCAAAGUCAUGGUUAAGUGGGAAACGAUGUGGGAAGGCCCAGACAGCCAGGAUGUUGGCUUAGAAGCAGCCAUCAUUUAAAGAAAGCGUAAUAGCUCACUGGUCGAGUCGGCCUGCGCGGAAGAUGUAACGGGGCUAAACCAUGCACCGAAGCUGCGGCAGCGACACUAUGUGUUGUUGGGUAGGGGAGCGUUCUGUAAGCCUGCGAAGGUGUACUGUGAGGUAUGCUGGAGGUAUCAGAAGUGCGAAUGCUGACAUAAGUAACGAUAAAGCGGGUGAAAAGCCCGCUCGCCGGAAGACCAAGGGUUCCUGUCCAACGUUAAUCGGGGCAGGGUGAGUCGACCCCUAAGGCGAGGCCGAAAGGCGUAGUCGAUGGGAAACAGGUUAAUAUUCCUGUACUUGGUGUUACUGCGAAGGGGGGACGGAGAAGGCUAUGUUGGCCGGGCGACGGUUGUCCCGGUUUAAGCGUGUAGGCUGGUUUUCCAGGCAAAUCCGGAAAAUCAAGGCUGAGGCGUGAUGACGAGGCACUACGGUGCUGAAGCAACAAAUGCCCUGCUUCCAGGAAAAGCCUCUAAGCAUCAGGUAACAUCAAAUCGUACCCCAAACCGACACAGGUGGUCAGGUAGAGAAUACCAAGGCGCUUGAGAGAACUCGGGUGAAGGAACUAGGCAAAAUGGUGCCGUAACUUCGGGAGAAGGCACGCUGAUAUGUAGGUGAAGUCCCUUGCGGAUGGAGCUGAAAUCAGUCGAAGAUACCAGCUGGCUGCAACUGUUUAUUAAAAACACAGCACUGUGCAAACACGAAAGUGGACGUAUACGGUGUGACGCCUGCCCGGUGCCGGAAGGUUAAUUGAUGGGGUUAGCGGUAACGCGAAGCUCUUGAUCGAAGCCCCGGUAAACGGCGGCCGUAACUAUAACGGUCCUAAGGUAGCGAAAUUCCUUGUCGGGUAAGUUCCGACCUGCACGAAUGGCGUAAUGAUGGCCAGGCUGUCUCCACCCGAGACUCAGUGAAAUUGAACUCGCUGUGAAGAUGCAGUGUACCCGCGGCAAGACGGAAAGACCCCGUGAACCUUUACUAUAGCUUGACACUGAACAUUGAGCCUUGAUGUGUAGGAUAGGUGGGAGGCUUUGAAGUGUGGACGCCAGUCUGCAUGGAGCCGGCCUUGAAAUACCACCCUUUAAUGUUUGAUGUUCUAACGUUGGCCCCUGAUCGGGGUUGCGGACAGUGUCUGGUGGGUAGUUUGACUGGGGCGGUCUCCUCCUAAAGAGUAACGGAGGAGCACGAAGGUUGGCUAAUCCUGGUCGGACAUCAGGAGGUUAGUGCAAUGGCAUAAGCCAGCUUGACUGCGAGCGUGACGGCGCGAGCAGGUGCGAAAGCAGGUCAUAGUGAUCCGGUGGUUCUGAAUGGAAGGGCCAUCGCUCAACGGAUAAAAGGUACUCCGGGGAUAACAGGCUGAUACCGCCCAAGAGUUCAUAUCGACGGCGGUGUUUGGCACCUCGAUGUCGGCUCAUCACAUCCUGGGGCUGAAGUAGGUCCCAAGGGUAUGGCUGUUCGCCAUUUAAAGUGGUACGCGAGCUGGGUUUAGAACGUCGUGAGACAGUUCGGUCCCUAUCUGCCGUGGGCGCUGGAGAACUGAGGGGGGCUGCUCCUAGUACGAGAGGACCGGAGUGGACGCAUCACUGGUGUUCGGGUUGUCAUGCCAAUGGCACUGCCCGGUAGCUAAAUGCGGAAGAGAUAAGUGCUGAAAGCAUCUAAGCACGAAACUUGCCCCGAGAUGAGUUCUCCCUGACUCUUUAAGGGUCCUGAAGGAACGUUGAAGACGACGACGUUGAUAGGCCGGGUGUGUAAGCGCAGCGAUGCGUUGAGCUAACCGGUACUAAUGAACCGUGAGGCUUAACCUU